AGAGGUUUAGUUCAGUGGCAGAGCACGUGCUUAGUAUGCAUGAGGUCCUGGAUUCAAUCCCCAGUACCUCUA
rnacentral:tRNA from 1 species